GACGAACGCUGGCGGCGUGCCUAAUACAUGCAAGUUGAGCGCUGAAGGUUGGUACUUGUACCAACUGGAUGAGCAGCGAACGGGUGAGUAACGCGUGGGGAAUCUGCCUUUGAGCGGGGGACAACAUUUGGAAACGAAUGCUAAUACCGCAUAAAAACUUUAAACACAAGUUUUAAGUUUGAAAGAUGCAAUUGCAUCACUCAAAGAUGAUCCCGCGUUGUAUUAGCUAGUUGGUGAGGUAAAGGCUCACCAAGGCGAUGAUACAUAGCCGACCUGAGAGGGUGAUCGGCCACAUUGGGACUGGGACACGGCCCAAACGCCUACGGGAGGGAGCAGUAGGGAAUCGUCGGCAAUGGACGAAAGUCUGACCGAGCAACGCCGCGUGAGUGAAGAAGGGUCUCGGAUCGUAAAAAUCGGUUGGUAGAGAAGAACGGUGGUGAGAGUGGAAAGCUCAUCAAGUGACGGUAACUACACAGAAAGGGACGGCUAACUACGUG
rnacentral:rRNA from 1 species